UGUCAUGUCGUGUCAAUCAGUUCCUGUCUAACAGAACAUAACAAUAAAAUUAUUACGAAGACAUCCAAAAUCCAACCAAAACAGCCAAAAUAUGGAGCACCAGCGCCGCAGUAUGACCUAGAUCAAGAUGUGACCCCUCUCUUCACCAGCACCCCUCCACACACCCCAGUAUGAAGUACCGACGUCUGUUCCUGCUAGCAAUCCUCACAUUACUGCAGCUGUCCGUAAGUGGAGCGUGUCGCAAGAAGCGCACCUGCCCCCGCGGGCCGCCGCCCCCUGCGCCCGUGUGCGCCCCCGCCGCGCCCCCCUGCGCGCCCCCCGUCUGCCCCGGCGGCUGCCAGCCCACAUACAAGCAGUGAACACACUCAGCAUGCGCAAGCUCUAUCUGGUGCUCCUCGUCUUCCUCACUUGGCUCGCGUGCUGCAAGAUCAAGCCGGAGAUGCAGAAGAAGGUGUACUGCCGCAAGCCGCGCGGCCAGCUGCCCGGCUGCAACUACAUGCGGCCCCGGACUGACGGCAAGUGACCCCCCUGCGUGCGACACGUGCCCCCCCCUGCGUGCGCCCCUGGCAACGGCUAGAGACACCCGACACUGACGGCAAGUGACCCCCGACUGCAAGUGCCCCCGGACGCUCGGCUAGUGACCCCAAGAGCAACUAAAUGCAGCUCGGCAAUCUUGAGCUAUAAAUUAAAUUUAAUAAAGAGUACAAUCUAAAUCUG